CCCAGUCCCCCAAUCUAUCCAAAUCUCUCUGCAGCAAAGCAAUAUCCUGCUCACAUUUUAUUACUUUACAAAGUUUUGUGUCAUCUGCAAACACUGAUACAUGGCUUUCAAUGCCUAUUUCAAGAUCAUUUAUAAAUAUGUUAAAUAGAAGUGGUCCCAAAACAGAACCCUGAGGGACACCACUUACCACUUUUGUCCAGCCUGAAAAUUUACCAUUAAUUACAAUUCGUUGUACUCUAUCCUUAAG